GACGAACGCUGGCGGCGUGCUUAACACAUGCAAGUCGAACGAAAAGAGGGAAAGAGCUUGCUCUUUCCGGAAUUGAGUGGCAAACGGGUGAGUAACACGUAAACAACCUGCCUUCAGGAUGGGGACAACAGACGGAAACGACUGCUAAUACCGAAUAAGUUCCAAGGGCCGCAUGGCCCAUGGAAGAAAGGUGGCCUCUACCUGUAAGCUAUCGCCUGAAGAGGGGUUUGCGUCUGAUUAGCUGGUUGGAGGGGUAACGGCCCACCAAGGCGACGAUCAGUAGCCGGUCUGAGAGGAUGAACGGCCACACUGGAACUGAGACACGGUCCAGACUCCUACGGGAGGCAGCAGUGGGGAAUCUUCCGCAAUGGGCGAAAGCCUGACGGAGCAACGCCGCGUGAGUGAUGACGGCCUUCGGGUUGUAAAACUCUGUGAUCCGGGACGAAAAGGCAGAGUGCGAAGAACAAACUGCAUUGACGGUACCGGAAAAGCAAGCCACGGCUAACUACGUG
rnacentral:rRNA from 1 species